GGAGGGUGCAAGCGUUAUCCGGAUUCACUGGGUUUAAAGGGUGCGUAGGUGGGGUGGUAAGUCAGUGGUGAAAUCUCCAGGCUUAACUUGGAAACUGCCAUUGAUACUAUCAUUCUUGAAUACCGUGGAGAUGAGCGGAAUAUGUCAUGUAGCGGUGAAAUGCUUAGAUAUGACAUAGAACACCAAUUGCGAAGGCAGCUCGUUACACGAAUAUUGACACUCAGGCACGAAAGCGUGGGGAUCAAACAGGAUUAGAUACCCUGGUAGUCCACGCCCUAAACGAUGGAUACUCGACAUUUGCGAUAAACUGCAAGUGUCUGAGCGAAAGCAUUAAGUAUCCCACCUGGGAAGUACGACCGCAAGGUUGAA
rnacentral:rRNA from 1 species